rnacentral:lncRNA from 1 species
CAGAAAUGAUGUCUCGAAUGGCUUCUCGUGGGGACAAAAUUGUCAUUCAUCUGAAAAUGGGAGCAAAGACCUAUCCAGAUACAGAUUCCUUCAACACUGUUGCAGAGAUCACUGGGAGCAAGUAUCCAGAGGAAGUGAGUAAAGCAGGAGGGUGUGCCUUCUCCCAGAGAACAUCCUGGUCAGGUGGCCAUUGUUAGAAUAUCUACAAGAAGAGAACAUGAGUCUGUGGAGAUGGUCCUCAUAGACUCAUUAAAGCCUGAACAUCAUA